rnacentral:rRNA from 1 species
UACGUAGGGGGCAAGCGUUGCUCGGAAUUACUGGGCGUAAAGGGUGUGUAGGCGGUUCGGUAUGUCAAGGAUGAAAUCCCAAAGCUCAACUUCGGAAUGGUCCUUGAAACUGCCGGGCUUGAGGGUAGUUGAGGAGAGCGGAAUUCCCGGUGGAGCGGUGAAAUGCGUAGAUAUCGGGAGGAACACCAGAGGCGAAGGCGGUUCUCUGAGCUACACCUGACGCUGAGACACGAAAGCUAGGGGAG